AGAAAAUCCAAUAACCAAGUUUCUUUUAUUUGAAUCUUGCAUUUACUUCUCUUUUGCCAAAUGGAUUUUUGACCUAUUAGGGUGAUGUUAAUAAAGGUGGUUUAAUGCAUGUUUAUGCUACCCCAUAUUUGGUAUUUGAUUUUGGAUUUUAAACACUACAAAUUUUAUUACUUAUAAAGCCCUAAAGGCAAGUUUAUAGGCAAACGUAUUUUUAUAUAUUUUAUUUUGAGAGAAUUCUUGUCCCAAAAGUUGAAUCAAAUGAAAAUAUGAUUUUACAAAUUUUGUUGCAUUUUAUUUGACUCAAUUUGGAGCUUUGAAUCAAAAGUUUAGUUCAAAACCAGAAAAAAAGAAAAAGGAAAAAAAAAGGGAACCGGACCGACCCUUACUGGGCCGGCCCACCUACCGAAUCGCGCGCGCAGCCCAUCUCCACGCGCUCAGAGCCACCGUCGCUGAUAGGCGGGCCCCACCUGUCAACUUCGUCUUCGUGUCCAACUGCCGGCCGAUUUCCACCUCGAGCAUGACUCCACCCCGCGUCCUCCUCGCCCACGACCCCCAUCUUCUCAACCGAGCGCGUCGGUAUAAAGCUCCUCACCCCCGCAGUCUUUCCCCUCUCUCGCUCGACCGUUUCCACGCCGCCAGGCUGCCCAAUUGCUCGCCGG
rnacentral:lncRNA from 1 species